UACGUGUGAGGCAAGCGUUAUUCGUCUUUAAUGGGUCUAAAGGGUACGUAGGCGGUAUAUGUAAUCAUAUUAUUAAUCACAUGUGUGUGGAUUUGAUAUUUAUAUACUAGAGUUUGAAGGGAGUAACAGACACAACAAGAGUAGUGUAGUAAUACUAGUAUACUUGAGGGGUCUCAUAGCGGCGAAGGCGCUCUACUAGGCCGUGACUGACACUGAGAGACGAUAGCUAGGGGAGCGAAUAGG
rnacentral:rRNA from 1 species